CCUACGGGAGGCAGCAGUGGGGAAUAUUGCACAAUGGGGGAAACCCUGAUGCAGCGACGCCGCGUGAAGGAAGAAGUAUUUCGGUAUGUAAACUUCUAUCAGCAGGGAAGAAAGUGACGGUACCUGACUAAGAAGCCCCGGCUAACUACGUGCCAGCAGCCGCGGUAAUACGUAGGGGGCAGUCGUUAGCCGGAUUACUGGGUGUAAAGGGUGCGGAGGCGGGGAUGCAAGUCAGAAGUGAAAUCCCGGGGCUCAACUCCGGGACUGCUUUUGAAACUGUAUGGCUAGAUUGCAGGAGAGGCAAGUGGAAUUCCUAGUGUAGCGGUGAAAUGCGUAGAUAUUAGGAGGAACACCAGUGGCGAAGGCGGCUUGCUGGACUGUAAAUGACGCUGAGGCUCGAAAGCGUGGGGAGCAAACAGGAGUAGAUACCCGGGUAGUC
rnacentral:rRNA from 1 species